AUCUCCACCCGGCACAGCCAGAAGAGGACUGGCCACCCCUCAGAGCCUGGCUCCUCUCUAGGUUUCUAAUCUCCACCCGGCACAGCCAGAAGAGGACUGGCCACCCCUCAGAGCCUGGUUCCUCUCUAGGUUUCUAAUCUCCACCCGGCACAGCCAGAAGAGGACUGGCCACCCCUCAGAGCCUGGUUCCUCUCUAGGUUUCUAAUCUCCACCCGGCACAGCCAGAAGAGGACUGGCCACCCCUCAGAGCCUGGUUCCUCUCUAGGUUUCUAAUCUCCACCCGGCACAGCCAGAAGAGGACUGGCCAUCCCUCAGAGCCUGGCUCCUCUCUAGGUUUCUAAUCUCCACCCGGCACAGCCAGAAGAGGACUGGCCAUCCCUCAGAGCCUGGCUCCUCUCUAGGUUUCUAAUCUCCACCCGGCACAGCCAGAAGAGGACUGGCCAUCCCUCAGAGCCUGGCUCCUCUCUAGGUUUCUAAUCUCCACCCGGCACAGCCAGAAGAGGACUGGCCACCCCUCAGAGCCUGGUUCCUCUCUAGGUUUCUAAUCUCCACCCGGCACAGCCAGAAGAGGACUGGCCACCCCUCAGAGCCUGGUUCCUCUCUAGGUUUCUAAUCUCCACCCGGCACAGCCAGAAGAGGACUGGCCACCCCUCAGAGCCUGGUUCCUCUCUAGGUUUCUAAUCUCCACCCGGCACAGCCAGAAGAGGACUGGCCAUCCCUCAGAGCCUGGCUCCUCUCUAGGUUUCUAAUCUCCACCCGGCACAGCCAGAAGAGGACUGGCCACCCCUCAGAGCCUGGUUCCUCUCUAGGUUUCUAAUCUCCACCCGGCACAGCCAGAAGAGGACUGGCCAUCCCUCAGAGCCUGGCUCCUCUCUAGGUUUCUAAUCUCCACCCGGCACAGCCAGAAGAGGACUGGCCACCCCUCAGAGCCUGGUUCCUCUCUAGGUUUCUAAUCUCCACCCGGCACAGCCAGAAGAGGACUGGCCACCCCUCAGAGCCUGGCUCCUCUCUAGGUUUCUUCUUAGGUUCCCGUCUUUCUAGGGAGUUUUUCCUCGCCACUGUGCUUCUACAUCUGAAUUACUUGCUGUUUGGGGUUUUAGGCUGGGUUUCUGUACAGCACUUUGUGACAUCAGCUGAUGUAAAAAGGGCUUUAAAAAUACAUUUGAUUGACGGAUUGAUUGAUUUGUAUGUCGGUUGGCUGUAAUGACUAUUUCUGGAUGUUUUAGCCUUGGAACAUUUAGGACAUGUCCAGUUAUUUUGCCAAGCAUGGCCACUACUGAGAAUAACUAGUUAUAUUUAAUGAGAUCGCUCAUCAAUGAAACCUAACCUUUAGACUUAAGAUGUAAUCUUCACGGAAAGGCCUCUAGAAAUACACACACACUUAAUAUAAACUUUAUCUGAAGUUCAGGGGAAACGCAACAAAUCUAAUUCUCUGCUGUCUAUCUUACUGCAUAUAAUACACCUCCUGAGGUAGGAUGUCAGUGUCUUUGUACAAUGAGGUGCAAUCGAUGGGCAGCCGGCCCAUUUACAGCCAGCCGGAGAUAAGACCUGGCAUGCUGCAGGGAGAUUGGGGAUGUUUCUGGGAUGAAAUGCUUGUUGGGUAAGGAAGAGGGAGCACCGC